GAUGAACGCUGGCGGCGUGCCUAAUACAUGCAAGUCGAGCGAACAGACGAGGAGCUUGCUCCUCUGACGUUAGCGGCGGACGGGUGAGUAACACGUGGAUAACCUACCUAUAAGACUGGGAUAACUUCGGGAAACCGGAGCUAAUACCGGAUAAUAUAUUGAACCGCAUGGUUCAAUAGUGAAAGACGGUUUUGCUGUCACUUAUAGAUGGAUCCGCGCCGCAUUAGCUAGUUGGUAAGGUAACGGCUUACCAAGGCAACGAUGCGUAGCCGACCUGAGAGGGUGAUCGGCCACACUGGAACUGAGGCACGGUCCAGACUCCUACGGGAGGUAGCAGUAGGGAAUCUUCCGCAAUGGGCGAAAGCCUGACGGAGCAACGCCGCGUGAGUGAUGAAGGUCUUCGGAUCGUAAAACUCUGUUAUUAGGGAAGAACAAAUGUGUAAGUAACUAUGCACGUCUUGACGGUACCUAAUCAGAAAGCCACGGCUAACUACGUG
rnacentral:rRNA from 1 species